rnacentral:lncRNA from 1 species
AUGUACUGCGCGAACUUCUCCCGGUACCCGCGGGCCGCGAGCUGCACCUCGCCCUGCAGCGCCCGGAGCUGCGCCCGCAGAGCCCUCUCGCGCCGCCUCCAGGCCAGGACUCGCGCCCCGGGCCCCCGCCCGCUGCCGCUGCCGCUCCCGCUCCCGCCCGGCGGCCCCCCGCGCGCGCCCCCGCCCCGGCCGGGCCCCGGCCCCGGCCCCGGCGCCGCGCCGCAGCCCCCCCGCGCGGGCAGGUCCCCGCCGCCGCGGCCGCCGGGCCCCGAGACGCAGCCCCGCGGGCGGCGCCGGGCCCCGCGCUCGACGUGCGCCGCCAGCUCGUGCAGCCGGGCCGAGCGGCCGCCGCCCUGGACGCGCGGCUGCUGCAGGAGGCUGCGCGCAGGCGGCGCCCGGUGCAGCUCGCCCGGCGCGGGGGGCUGGCGCUGCAGCGGGCCCCGGCGCCGCCGCGCCACCCAGGGCAGCAGGCAGCCGGCGCAGAAGACGUGCCCGCACGGCGUGCACAGCGGCUCCUCCGGCACCUGGCCGCACAGUUUGCACUUGCAGUCCGGGUCCGCCGCUUCGGCGAAGCGCUCCAGGGCAAAGCCCAUCGUCGGGAGGGGGAGGCGGAGCAGCGAAUCCGAGGCCACUCUCUCGGAGCCCCCAGGCUCCCCCGGGCUUCCCCGGGGACGCCUUUCCCGCGGCAGGGGUCAGGCACGGAGGGGAGGAGGAGGAGGAAGGGGGGGGGGCGCGAUCCUGGAGUUUGGCUGGAAGUUUGCAGGCUCCGGCUGGGUCCCCUGGCUCCGCCGUAUUGAUGCUAAUAGACGCCACCUCCCGGGACACGCGCGCGCGCGCACGCACCGCCUCCGCCUCUUUUGCGGCUCUGCAAUUUAUAUUCUUUCCAAUUUUGUCCUCGAGGAGCUGAGACCUGCUGACAAUGGCCCCGUCGUCAAGGCAGAGCUGAUGACGGGCGCGGCGCGGAGGUCCGGGGACAACUUUUACUUCCAUCCGCGCGUCAGCUCGCGGGGAGCAAGCUUAAACCCCUGA